UUGCACGUGGAAAUGUGUCUGCCCCUCGUUCCUUUGGGAGUGGGAACCGGUCCACCACACGCCACAUUAAAAAGGGGCUCUUGGGGCUGCCAACCUCACAGUGGACGUGGAGUGGUGGUAUAUUUCUCCCACUUAA